rnacentral:lncRNA from 1 species
CCGGACCUUGGUUCAGACUCCACACGAAUAAUGCAGCGCAUCUGUGUUUCACGCCGAACAAGGACCUACGGGCGCCGGCGAUCGCCGGAUCUUUAUGAAAUUAUCUCAACAUCACCCAGAGACAUAGUAUAAUCAAAGCAGGAAGCGAGGCAGGGAUAAACACGAACCGGAUAGGAUACCGAUCAUAGGUGGAACUGACACUGCGACACACACACACCACAACAACAAGCUCCAGCUGAGCAGACGCAGGCACGGUGGCCGGCGAGAGUGGCACCGCGUCGCUCGCUGGCUGCUGACUGGGCACUGGGCCUCGACACGACAACACUUUUAUUUAGCCCACGUCACCGCGCGACCCCGCGCAAAGCACCCCACACCUAGUACGUACUCGUAGUAAAAAGGUAGCACCCCACUCCACUCCACUGGCUGACUGAGCAUCGCGCCGUGCCACGUAGGAGCACACGGCCGCCGCCGCCGUGGACGCGCGCCUCACACGCUCACGGUGGCCUCCUCUGCCGCGGCCGCGGGCGCCUCCUCCGCUGCAGCCGGCGCUUCCUCGGCGACGGCCGCCACCUCCGGCUCGGCGGCAGCGGGUGCCGCCUCCUCCUCCUUCACCUCCUCGGCCGCCGCCGCCGGCUCGGCCUCUGCCACGGCCUCCUUGGUCUCCGUCUCGACCACGGCUGGCGCCUCGGCCACCGGCUCGGCCGCAGCUGCCGGCUCGGGCUCCUUGGCCUCCUCCGUCACGGCGGCGGCCGGCGCCUCCUCCUUGGCCGCCUCGACCUCGACGGGGGCAGGCGCCUCGACCUCGGCCUCCGCCGGCGCGGGGACCUCCUCCGUCUUCGCGGCCUCCUCGGCGGCCACGGGCGUCUCCACCGCCGGCGCCUCCUCCGUCAGCGCGGCCGUCGGGUUCUGGACCUGCACGUUUGCACACUCAAUGCCAUCAGCCCCACGCACAUGCCAGCACGUACACAAACCGAUCAAGCUCGAGCUCGACCACGAUCAUGGGCGUUCGUCAGAUCGCGUAGAUCCAUCGGAACGACCAUCGAUCCGAGAACAUGAAAGAGAACAGACGAUCGAUCGAUCCGAUCGAGGCAAGCUAGCUAUACGUACAUCAGCGGUGGCCAUUGCCGUGGUGGAAGCAAGAAAAUGCCCGGAGCUAGCUGAAGCUAGUGCUACUGUGACCCUGUUGUGUGCCUGUGGCUGAUCCGAUGAGAGAGUGUGAGGCGUGUGUGUCUGUGUGGAGCAAUGGAGGCUAUAUAUAGCGGCCUCCGGAGGCCAAAACGGGGAGAACACAAACGCAAAUCGAAGGCCAAAAAAAUUUAAAAACGAAGCCGAUCGACGGGUCGAGGAAAUAAACAAGCCGAGUCCGUCUCAUGAUGAUCGGGAAUCUGGGGAGCUGUAUGUGCAAAUAAGCACGUCCUGACGACGUGCGGUUGUACGUGCGCGUCAUGCCAUCGAAGUAAAAGGUGGCCCGUGAGUCAUGACACUGUGUAAAGGGUCCAAAGAACAUACCAGGGUGCCCGUGCACGGCCCGCGUCUAGUUCAUCUCGCUCCACAUGUUGCUCGAUCAGGAUCGGUCGUGCCACACACACACAAAUAUAUGUUCGAGAGAAAAGUUGCGAGAUUCUUGAACUUAUUUUCCAUUUUCCAUAAGUUUCCGUGUACGAUCGGCCCUGCUGUCACGUUGAUGUGUGUGCCGUGUGCUGGCCAAACCUGAUCCGGCCCUGGUGGCAGUGGCAACAUGCAAGUGGGACCUUUUGAGGUGUACACAACAACACAUCUCGUCCUCCUUGCACGUUCUGCGCCGUCCUUUCCAUCGGACCGUCGAUCCCUUACCGAUUAAUUAAAUAUAAAUGAAGCCCUCGCCGAUUUAGCCGUAGCAGUAAUCGAUUCCAUCAUCUGUGAUUUGGAUCGAAACGUAUUUGAUUAGCCUUUGUUUUGUACGUACGAGAUUACGAUAGCUGAGCAGGGGCGGCUGUCGUCCGGGUUGGCGUGGAGACAAUGGAGUUGGAACCGAUGAAUGUGCGCGCCUGAAUAGUCGCGAUUUGGUUUUGGGAUUUAGGUUAGCUCUCCGUCUCAGGGUAGUACGUGGCCACCCGGCCUAUGCUACCGUAUAGACUUUCUUUUCCAGCAGUACGUAUGUUCUUUUUCUUUUUCCUUUUUCUUUUCGAGAUGUGACGUGAUGUGGAUCGGUGAAACCUAAUUAAGGUCCUGGUUACGCAUAUGUUUGCUGAUGGAGAGGGGGAGGGCGGCAUUCACUCAUUUUGCAAAACGAUUAUAUAUAUAUAUAUAUAUUGUCAUACACAGUAUGUAUGAUGUGCUAGGUAAUCCAGGGGUAAAAGUUUCUUUUAUUAUAGAAAAAAAAAUAAGGUGGUGGUGUCGAAUGGACCAAGGUUUUUUGUGAGAGCAAUUCCAGAUCCCCAAGCAAUCACCGCUGGAAUCGUGUCCCUGUUCUAGCGCUACAGUGGUAGCCUGCAUGUGUCAUGCUUCAGAGUCGAUCAGCAACAACAAUUAUGACAGCAACUGGAUGGAUGUCCCCCAUCACCUUUGGCUCUGGGGCUCGUCUACUUGCUCCGGCCUCCACCACCUUUGCCCGAAAGCUAGCGUAGAUAUAUGCAAGACGAUUACUACCGCGCCGCAGGGGUAGUUGUCCAUGGAUCAACCUCACGCUCCAAAACAAGAAACUUAUCAGAAAAGCAACGGGGAUAUCAUCAGCGGGACAGCGAGAUUACACUAACACGAAGUAGCACGCCACUAAUUAAUCGUCGCCACCUGAUCUCUUCCCUCGCCGGUCACCGCCGCCGAAAGGUCGAGAGACGGACAUGCGCAGCAAGGUAGCUGAGCUCUUACAAAAUGAGUGAAACCCCUUGGUUGCCCAUGUAAUCUUCUUUCCUCCUCUAAACUAAUUGCUUGCAGAUGAUUUUUGGCCCCGGUGGAGUGGAGGCGAUGGGGUUGGGCAGCUUUCUUUUCGAGAAAAUUCUCGCCGCCGUCGUUGUCGUCGCUUUAAACCGGCCAUUCAGAUCAUCAGAUGGCAUGGAAAGCGACGAGCAAGCAGAGUCCGCACCGGGCGUCCAACAUGCGCCGGCCACGGCCAGUGCCCGGUAGGACGGUCCGCUGGGCUGAUUGGUGCCACAUCACGCAGAAGAGAUAUACUAGAGUAGAGCAGUCGACAUGGCCGGCUGUCAGCCCCGGCCCCGCCUGCGUGUCCCUCCACCGCCGUGAUCUCCCGUGGCACCGGCCGGCCAGCUGCGCUGCUCGCUUUCGGCGGCCGUGCCAUGCCAUGCCAUGCCAUGCCAUGUGUGGUCGCCAUCGCGCACGCCGGUUCGAUCCAGACUUUCGUGUUGGCCAGCCAGCGGUGGGGUGUGGCUGCGGCUACAUAACGCCGAGCUUUCACAAAGGUGACGGGUGAGGCGCCGCAUAGGGAGCCACGGAGUUGGUGGGCGCAGGGAGCGGGGGGUGGGAUGAUUGGAGCCCAUGACCCGGAAGCGAUGGUGAGGUGGCGCCACGGCUAGGGGCGGUGGAGGAGGGGCCCGCGUCACAGUGCCCGUGAUGGAAACGGCGGUGUGCGGACGCGGCGUUCCACUUCCACCUGUGAAUGACGUGUGAUGUGCCUCCAUGUCGGACCGCGGCCACAUGCGAUUUUUAAUGGAGUAUACUUGUACGAGUACGAGCUGAUCCACCUCAGCGUUUUGUUGGUUCGUCCAAACGACGAGCCGGGAUUUGCGCAGAGCAGGUUGCUUGAUUGGAAGAUGCAGUAUAUUUCCUUUUGAAUAUGACCUCCCUC